GUUGCUUCGUGCCUUGCUUUCCAGUCAGCUGAACCUGAACCCUAAAAUCUGAAAGCCAUACCUGCCUAUCAUCAGGGUCAGAUGAUGAACCAAGAAGUUUGACGACGCUGAGAAGAAUAAAAGGAAGUCGCAGUGCCAGGUGAACAAGGUGACAGCAGGGUGACGGUCACAUGAUCCUGCUUCUCCAUCAAAAUUGGCUUCAUCGGCACUUCCGCUACAUGCUGACAGAAGCUGGUCCAUGACUCGGAGCUCCGGGGCCCAAACAGAUGACCGCGCAGAGGCCCUGUUUGCUGUAAUGAUGUCAGUAUAACCGUGUUUCCAUUACCUUACAUAGUGCUGCAGAGGAAGUCCGAUUUUUCCUCUGUUGUCCAGGGCAAAGCCGGAGCACAGUGUCAAACUGAUUGCCCAACAGACUCCAGCCGGCUGAAGCUCCUCCAGUUAACGUUGCCAGCUGCC